GACAGAGGGUGCAAACGUUGUUCGGAAUUACUGGGCGUAAAGCGUGUGUAGGCGGCCACGUAAGUCGGAUGCGAAAGCCCCAGGCUCAACCUGGGAAGUGCACUCGAUACUGCGUGGCUUGAGUAUCGGAGAGGUUGGUGGAAUUCUCGGUGUAGAGGUGAAAUUCGUAGAUAUCGAGAGGAACACCGAUGGCGAAGGCAGCCCCCUGGGCUAACACUGACGCUCAGGCACGAAAGCGUGGGGAGCAAACAGG
rnacentral:rRNA from 1 species